UACGUAGGGCGCAAGCGUUAUCCGGAAUUAUUGGGCGUAAAGCGUCCGCAGGUGGCUAUUCAAGUCUGCGGUCAAAGACUGGGGCUUAACCCUGGAAAGGCCGUGGAAACUGAAGAGCUAGAGUGCAGUAGGGGUAGAGGGAAUUCCGGUGUAGCGGUGAAAUGCGUAGAUAUCGAGAGGAACACCUGCGGCGAAGGCGGGUUGCUGGGCUGAUACUGACGCUGAGGCGCGAAAGCCAGGGGAGCGAACGGG
rnacentral:rRNA from 1 species